AAAAGAGAAUUCACCCUGGAGAGAAUCCCUACAAAUCUGAAGAAUGUAACAAAGGCUAUAGGUGGUUCUGAGACCUUGCUAAACAUAAGAUAAUUCAUAUUGGAGAGAAACCCUACAAAUGUAAUGAAUGUGGAAAAGGUUUUAUGUGGAUCUCGGCCCUUAGAAAACAUAAGAGAAUUCAUACUGGAGAGACACCCUACAUCCAUGAAGAAUGUGGCAAGGCCUUUACCUACUCCUCAAUCCUUAUUAACCACAAGAGAAUUCAUAUGGAAGAGGGACCUUACAAAUGCGAAGAAUGUGGCAAAACCUUUAUGUGGCUCUCAGACUUUACUAAUCAUAAGAGAAUUCACCCUGGUGAGAAACCCUACAAAUGUGAAGAAUGUGGCAAAGUAUUGAGCUCGUUCUCACACGUCAUUAGACAUAAGACAAUUCAUAGUAGAGAGAAGCUCCACAAGUGUUAAAAAUGUGGAAAAGCCUUUAACAAUUCGUCAUAUUGUGUUCAACAUCAGAGACUUACUACUGAACAAAUGUAGUAUAAAGGUUAUUAUGAUGUUUGUAAUGAAGAUGAGUAUAAUGGAGCUAUAUGUUUCUGAAUUCUGAACAACUAUUUACAAAAUUUUAUCCUACUUUUUUCUGUUGAAAAUAUGACUUCUCUCGUCUGCUAAACACGUACAGACCUUUAGUUUUGAUUUACAUCAAUUUAAAUAUACAAAUGUAUCACUGUAAAAUAAACUUUAAGUGUAACAGA
rnacentral:lncRNA from 1 species